UGGCUCAGAGGUUAAGAGCACUGACUGCUCUUCCAGAGGUCCUGGGUUCAAAUCCCAG
rfam:Rattus norvegicus chromosome 7, whole genome shotgun sequence.